rnacentral:rRNA from 1 species
AUACGGAGGGGGCAAGCGUUGUUCGGAUUUACUGGGCGUAAAGAGAGCGUAGGCGGCGCGUUAAGUCCGGUGUGAAAGCUUUACCGCUCACCGGAAAGAGGCCAUCGGAAACUGGCGUGCUAGAGCAAAGUAGAGGCAAGCGGAAUUCCUGGUGUAGCGGUGGAAUGUGUAGAGAUCAGGAAGAACAUCUGUGGCGAAGGCGGCUUGCUGGGCUUUUGCUGACGCUGAGGCUCGAAAGCGUGGGGAGCGAACGGGAUUAGAUACCCCAGUAGUCC